AACGAACGCUGGCGGCAGGCUUAACACAUGCAAGUCGAGCGCCCCGCAAGGGGAGCGGCAGACGGGUGAGUAACGCGUGGGAAUCUACCCAUCUCUACGGAGUAACGCAUGGAAACGUGUGCUAAUACCGUAUACGUCCUUCGGGAGAAAGAUUUAUCGGAGAUGGAUGAGCCCGCGUUGGAUUAGCUAGUUGGUGGGGUAAAGGCCUACCAAGGCGACGAUCCAUAGCUGGUCUGAGAGGAGGAUCAGCCACACUGGGACUGAGACACGGCCCAGACUCCUACGGGAGGCAGCAGUGGGGAAUAUUGGACAAUGGGCGCAAGCCUGAUCCAGCCAUGCCGCGUGAGUGAUGAAGGCCCUAGGGUUGUAAAGCUCUUUCACCGGUGAAGAUAAUGACGGUAACCGGAGAAGAAGCCCCGGCUAACUUCGUGCCAGCCGCCGCGGUAACAC
rnacentral:rRNA from 1 species